rnacentral:snoRNA from 2 species
UUCAUCAUUUGAUGAGAUAUGGAAUAAUCUUAGGACACCUUCCUACACAGCAUAAAUUUUGCUGUGGAUGAGAACAACUUUCCAUUCUGAUGAUGAU